rnacentral:sRNA from 1 species
GAACUUUCAGCUCCUUUUCCAGCACCAACUUAGCCUGUCUACUGCCACACUUCCUGCUAUGAUGAUAAGGACUAAUCCUCUAAAUCUGCUGCCAGCAGAAGGAGGCACGACCCAGGGUAAAGGCAGAUCUUUCUACCUCGAAAGUUCUGGAUUAAAGAACCUCACGUACACAUGUACAAGGGCUGUGUGCCCCACUAUCUUCAGGGAGGAGCAUUUUUCUCAGAUCCACUUGAUUCAAUCUCUGAUGGCUCAGCCUCUGGAAGUCAAUAGAAUCAAAGAGGCUCAGUAAGCUGCAGCAAGACACAAAGAACAAGACAGUCACAUUGGAGGAAGCAGGAAGACUGCAGUCAUGUUAAUGAUUUAAUACUUCUUGAAUGUAUAUGCUACAUGACUUUCCUCUCAGUGACCAUGUUCAAAGGUUCAUCUAUAAUGAAUAACUAAGCCCUUAAUAAAGCAUGCUUCCUCUGUUUGCAAUUCUAACUCAUUAUUCACGCUGAAUAAGGCACUAUUGACCUGUAGAAACAAAAUGGUGACAUCAGGCGGGU